UGAUCAUGGCUCAGGACGAACGCUGGCGGCGUGCUUAACACAUGCAAGUCGAACGAUGAAGCUGGAGCUUGCUCCGGCGGAUUAGUGGCGAACGGGUGAGUAACACGUGAGCAAUCUGCCCUUGACUCUGGGAUAACUGCGGGAAACUGUAGCUAAUACCGGAUACGACACCUGGAGGCAUCUCCCGGGUGUGGAAAGAAUUUCGGUCAAGGAUGAGCUCGCGGCCUAUCAGCUAGUUGGUGAGGUAAUGGCUCACCAAGGCGACGACGGGUAGCCGGCCUGAGAGGGUGACCGGCCACACUGGGACUGAGACACGGCCCAGACUCCUACGGGAGGCAGCAGUGGGGAAUAUUGCACAAUGGGCGAAAGCCUGAUGCAGCAACGCCGCGUGAGGGAUGAAGGCCUUCGGGUUGUAAACCUCUUUUAGUUGGGAAGAAGCGAAAGUGACGGUACCAACAGAAAAAGCACCGGCUAACUACGUGCCAGCAGCCGCGGUAAUACGUAGGGUGCAAGCGUUGUCCGGAAUUAUUGGGCGUAAAGAGCUCGUAGGCGGUUUGUCGCGUCUGCUGUGAAAAUCCGAGGCUCAACCUCGGACCUGCAGUGGGUACGGGCAAACUAGAGUGCGGUAGGGGAGAAGGGAAUUCCUGGUGUAGCGGUGGAAUGCGCAGAUAUCAGGAGGAACACCAAUGGCGAAGGCACUUCUCUGGGCCGUAACUGACGCUGAGGAGCGAAAGCGUGGGGAGCGAACAGGAUUAGAUACCCUGGUAGUCCACGCCGUAAACGCUGGGUGCUAGUUGUGGUCACAUUCCACGUGAUCCGUGACGCAGCUAACGCAUUAAGCACCCCGCCUGGG
rnacentral:rRNA from 1 species